GGAUAUGAGGGCGAUCUGGCUGUGACAUCUGUCACCCCAUUGAUCACCAGAGUUGACUCCACUGAUCUGGCUGGCUAGGCAGAUGUCCCCUUCCUCCCUUACCACUCCAUGUGCGUCCCUCUCGAAGCUGUGCCUUCCCAGAAUACAGACAGACUGGUCUUCGGUGGUUAAGGGUAUAGGAGUAGCUGCGCUCCCCUGCUAGAACCUCCAAACAAGCUCUCAAGGAGGGGAGUCAGGAAGGGAGUGCUUCCCAUGUGCAAAG
rnacentral:snRNA from 1 species